GACGAACGCUGGCGGCGUGCUUAAUACAUGCAAGUCAACUUGACUUUAGAUAGCAAUAUCGAAAAGUAGGGUGGCGCACGGGUGCGUAACGCGUAGGUAAUCUGCCCUGAGGUCUGACAUAACCCGUCGAAAGGCGGGCUAACAUCAGAUGAUAUAUAAUCACGACAUCGUGGAAAUAUCAAAUCUUCGGAGCCUUGGGAUGAGCCUGCGUCUGAUUAGGUAGUUGGCGGAGUAAUAGCCCACCAAGCCUACGAUCAGUAGCUGGUCUGAGAGGAUGAUCAGCCACACUGGAACUGAGACACGGUCCAGACUCCUACGGGAGGCAGCAGUAAGGAAUAUUGCUCAAUGGGGGAAACCCUGAAGCAGCAACGCCGCGUGAAGGAUGAAAUACUUUUGUAUGUAAACUUCUGUAAGAUGGGAAAAAUAUUCUCCUCGGGAGAAUUGAUUGUACCAUCAGAGUAAGCCCCGGCUAACUACGUGCCAGCAGCC
rnacentral:rRNA from 1 species